rnacentral:rRNA from 1 species
GACGAACGCUGGCGGCGUGCUUAACACAUGCAAGUCGAACGGUGAAGCGCCUUCCUUUUUGGUGGGUGUGGAUGAGUGGCGAACGGGUGAGUAACACGUGAGUAACCUGCCCCCUUCUUCUGGAUAACCGCAUGAAAGUGUGGCUAAUACGGGAUAUUCUGGUUCUGUCGCAUGAUGGGUCUGGGAAAGAUGUUGUUUCGGUGGGGGAUGGGCUCGCGGCCUAUCAGCUUGUUGGUGGGGUGAUGGCCUACCAAGGCGGUGACGGGUAGCCGGCCUGAGAGGGUGGACGGUCACACUGGGACUGAGACACGGCCCAGACUCCUACGGGAGGCAGCAGUGGGGAAUAUUGCACAGUGGGCGCAAGCCUGAUGCAGCGACGCCGCGGGAGGGAUGGAGGCCUGCGGGUUGUGAACCUCUUUCGCCAGUGAAGCAGGCCUGCCUCGUUUGUGGGUGGGUUGACGGUAGCUGGAGAAGAAGCGCCGGCUAACUACGUG